GGGCCUAUAGCUCAGUCGGUUAGAGCGCGGUGCUGAUAACGCCGAGGUCGAUGGUUCGAUUCCAGUUGGGCCCACCA
rnacentral:tRNA from 1 species